CCACAUUUAAUCAAUUCCCAAAAUACCCCCAAAAUUAUUGAAAUUACCAUUCUACCCCCAUCCCUUCAAUCUGCACCAAAAUUAUAAAAAAACACCAACUUACUACAGCUAUAACCAAAUUUCUAAUCAAAUUCAACAACAAUUUCAAACUAAAUAAUGAAUAACAAAGAACUAACUGAAAAUUAUUUUGAACAGCAUUCUUAACAAGCAUACUUCAGAUUCAACAACAAUAACAAAAAUUGGACAUAGCAAACAAGUAGAUCCUAAUCACAAAACUCAAAUUCAAAUUAUACUUAACAAAUCAAACAAACAAAUUUAAAUCUCUAACUUAGAUCCAAAUUUAGAUUUAACACAACAAUAAAACAGAUUCAAAUCACUAAACUCUAUAAUCAAUUGAACUUCAAAUUAAAUCUUACAAUAUUGCAACCAAGAUGAAAGACUAACAUACUUCUACAUUAAAACUUAAUUCUUUUAAAUAAAAACAAACAACCAAGAUGAAAGAUUUAUUAAACUAACAUACUUCUAUAUUAAAACUAAAUUCUUUUAAAUGAAUAAAAACAAACGGAAGAAAUAAACAAGAAAAUGAUAACCAACGAAAAUAAUAUACUGAUUUUAGAUCUGAAAAUAUCAAACAAAAUACGGAUAGAAAUGAAACUUAGACCAACUAACCGGAUCGAAACAACGACGAACUCGACCGAAAACAGAUCUGCCCGGAAAUUUUGACACCCAAAAUAACUCGAAUCUGCCCGGAAUUUCAACAACGAUCUCGACGAAUCCACGACCAGCUUGGCAACGAUCAUACUAUGUAUGUAUAUAUAUAUAUAUAUGGACAGCUUAUAUUCAUAUACAUACAUACAUACAUACAUACAUACAUAUAUAUAUAUAUAUAUAUANNNNNNNNNNNNNNNNNNNNNNNNNNNNNNNNNNNNNNNNNAUACAUACAUAUAUAUAUAUAUAUAUAUAUAUAUAUAUAUAUAUAUACACACGCACACAUAUGUGUGGACGUGGGUGGGGGUUUGGUGUGGUGAGUUCGUGGUUAUUCAUGGCUAUGGAGAUGCUGGUUAUCGUUUAGACGUGACGACGAUGAACGAUGAUGGCUGUUUUGGUGAGCGAGAUGGUGGUUUUGAUUGAAGACGAUAAGGGGUCGUUAAUGGGGAAGAAACGAUGGGGCGGUACUUUGCUGGUUUAGCGAUGAUGGACGACGUGAAGGCUGAGAAGGCUGUCAUUCGUGGCUGGACGUAGCAGAAGCGAUGGGGCUUGCUGUUGGUCGUCCUUGGAGCUGCUAGUCGUGGGAUGCAAUGCUGUGGACGGGUGGACAUGGCUGGAGUUCGAGGUCCGACGUUAAUGGAGGUUAUGAAGGCAACCGUUGCAGUUGGAUCGCCGGAAAAGAAGCAGACGAAGCAGCAGCUGUGGGGGACGAGUGGUCGUUGGCAUUUGGUUGGGUGGUUUGAAGAAGAAGAGAAGAGGGGGGGUCCUUGAGUGUGGCGGCUGGGGUUUGAGAGGAUUAGGAUUUUUUUGUGUUAGGGUGUGUAAGGAAAAUGAAAAUGAAAAUGAAAAUGAGGAGGAGAGUGUCAUUUGGGUUAUGGGAUAGACUGGGUCGG
rnacentral:lncRNA from 1 species